GGGGUUGUGGCUCAGUGGUAGAGCAUUCGCCUAGCAGGUGUGAGGCCCAGGUUCAAUCCUCAGCACCA
rnacentral:tRNA from 1 species